AACGCACAUUGCGCCCUCUGGUAUUCCGGGGGGCAUGCCUGUCCGAGCGUCAUUGCUAUACCUCAAGCCCGGCUUGUGUGUUGGGCCUACCGUCCCUUUGGACGGUGACCCGAAAGGCAGUGGCGGCGUCGCGUCCUGGUCCUUGAAGCGUAUGGGGCUUUGUCACCCGCUUAGAGGCCGGCCGACACCGUAGCCCAUCGUGGAUCUUCCACAAUUUUUUUCUGAUGGACCUCGGAUCAGGUAGGGAUACCCGCUGAACUUAA
rnacentral:misc_RNA from 1 species